GAUGAACGCUGGCGGCGUGCCUAAUACAUGCAAGUCGAGCGAACAGAUGAGGAGCUUGCUCCUCUGACGUUAGCGGCGGACGGGUGAGUAACACGUGGAUAACCUACCUAUAAGACUGGGAUAACUUCGGGAAACCGGCGCUAAUACCGGAUAAUAUAUUGAACCGCAUGGUUCAAUAGUGAAAUACGGUUUUGCUGUCACUUAUAGAUGGAUCCGCGCCGCAUUAGCUAGUUGGUAAGGUAACGGCUUACCAAGGCAACGAUGCGUAGCCGACGUGAGAGACUGAUCGGCCACACUGGAACUGAGACGCGGUCCAGACUACUACGAGAGGCAGCAGUAGGGAAUCUGCCGCAAUGGUCGAAAGCCUGACGGAGCAACGCCGCGUGAGUGAUGACAGUCUUCGGAUCGUAAAAAUCUGUUAUUAGGGAAGAACAAAUGUGUAAGUAACUAUGCACGUCUUGACGGUACCUAAUCAGAAAGCCACGGCUAACUACGUG
rnacentral:rRNA from 1 species